AAACAUGGCUCUUUGAAACUACAGUAUAGAGAGUCGAGCCUGCCCAGUGAUAAAAUUAAACGGCCGCGGUACUCUGACCGUGCAAAGGUAGCAUAAUCAUUUGCCCUAUAAUUGAGGGCUAGUAUGAAUGGUUUGACAAAAGCAAAACUGUCUCAUCAGAAUUUAAUAGAAUUUAGUUUUUGAGUGAAGAAACUCAAAUAAAAUUGAAAGACAAGAAGACCCUAUCGAGCUUUAAAAUACUUUGUUAAAAAAUAUGUAUUAAUUAAUUAAUUUUAGCAAAAAAUUUUGGUUGGGGCGACUAAGGAACAAAGGAAGCUUCUUUUUAAUUUAAUAAACCUAUAAGUUUUGAUCCAGAAGAUUCUGAUUAAAAGAAUUAGUUACCGUAGGGAUAACAGCAUAAUCUUCUUCAAGAGCUCUUAUCGAAAAGAAGGUUUGUGACCUCGAUGUUGGACUAGGAUAUCCUAAAGAUGUAGAAGUCUUUAAAGUGUUGGUCUGUUCGACCAUUAAAAUCCUACAUGAUCUGA
rnacentral:rRNA from 1 species